rnacentral:lncRNA from 1 species
AGAGGAAACAACACGGUUAAAGUUUUAGGUUUGAAAUUUAGAGUUUGUGGCGAAAUUGUCAGGGUUUAGGAAAAAUCAGGGUAGUUAGUUAUGAAAAAAAAAUGUGCAGAUCUAAAUAUAUGUAUAUAAAAAAAAAAAGAAUUAAAAAAAAACAACGGCGUUGCUAGCGCAAAAUUGCGAUCAUCGCAACUGGAUCGGAUAACACAAAUGUCACGCCUCAUACACGUAUAUGUGAAAACGGCGUAUUGACACGAUCCGAUCCGAAAACAUAAUCAAAUAUAUCAACAAAAUAGAUAAAGUAUAUAUCAUAUAUAAACUAUUACCAAACUGUGUGUACGAUAGUAUAGAUCAGCCACUCUCAGUUUCUCUUUUUUG